ACCAGAGGUGGGACCCUUAAGAUCCAGUUGUUUGUUUUUAACAUGAGGAAAACAAACCUCAGAAGGCAGUGACUUGCCCAAGGUCACACAUCAAGUAAAGGCUCAGGGUAGACCCAAGAAUACCUAGAAAGGUUUGUGUCAAGAUGUCUGAGCCACAAGGUAAAAAACAAGGAUGGGAUUAAUCCCAACAAUAAUGGUCAGUCUUCCCUCUGGCAGAGAAUAGAGACUCAGACAAAUGGCCAGUCUGUCCAGGCAUGCCACUCCAGCCCAGGAACAAGCAUAUCGAUUCACAAAUGCCCAGUACCCACUGCCCUGGUGCCCUAGACAGCAACUAAGCUGUCCUGGGUCAAUGGUGCCACCUGGUGGUUGGUGCUGGGAAGUUCUAACCCCUCCUCACUUUUAAUCCUUUCCCAAGGGGCCACACCUUCUGUUGGGUCAUAGCUCAAUUGAUCUCACUUUAAGCAAUGUCUCUCACACCAUCAUCUCUUUUAUAAGUUCUUUUAAUCUAUAUUCUUUACCUAAAACAUCCCAGUUUCUCUCAGGACAUGCCUUUUCUCUCCAGCAAAUGAUAUGUCGGCCAGUGAAAGGAAGGACUGGAGUGUCAAAGUGAAAUUAUACAUUCACCCAAGCAUGCGUUGUGCACACACAUGCGUAUGAGUCACUCUCCCCUGGUGCUCUCUCUAGAGCACCCAGAACCCAGAAGCUCCUAUGAAAUCAGAACAAAAUGCGUUCAGAUCUUCCUGUUGCCCAGUAUCAGGCGUCAAGAUAAAUGCUUGAGGCACUUUCUUAUUUUCUCAUAUUUCAUUCCCAAUCAAUAUCAUGGCGGGAUUUUCUUCCACCAAAAAUAUGCCUAGGGCAGGGCCUGCGAGCAAGUGCAGAACUGAACUGGGUUUGAAGCUGGGUGGGUUCCCCGCCCUGAGGAAGCACUGAAGGAAGCAAGCUGGAGGGAGGUCAGACCUCAAACCCUACAGACAAGCUGCUGGACAUAGGAAGAACUCAGUGCUCAUCCCUCUUUGUGGAAACAAACACGAGCCAGAAACCACACAGCCGCCAUGUGAGAUGAGAGGGUUGCCAAAGCCUGGUGUGUCCAGCCACAACCUCCCGGUUAAAGAUGGGAGACAUGGGAAAAACUCCUCUUUUAACUCACACCACACAUGUGUUCUCUCUGUCUGUGUGAGAGAUGAACAGACACGGUCAGCGAGGAGCAAUGUGGGCAGAAACCCCCCAGGUGCAGGCCAGAGAACCAGGGGGUUCCCAAGACCUUCAGGGGAUCUGUGAGGUUGGAACUGUUUUCCCAUGAUGCCACAGGGUCAUUUGCCUUCACUCACGAUGAAAGCACAGGGUGGCACUUUCCAGAGCCUAGGAUAUGUAUGGUAUUGUGACAGUGAGUCCAGAGGCAUCUUUUCAACUCUAGCUGUCUUCUGUCAAACCAGACACUAAGGAAGCUUGCGCAGGUGUAAGACAGUGCCUCUCCUGCUAGAUUUUCAGUUUAGAAAACAGCUUUUAUCUCAACAUGUGUUGUUUAUUAUUAUUUUAAUAGGUCAAUAAAUAAUUCAAUUUUACUCCUU
rnacentral:lncRNA from 1 species